GCCAGACAGCCCGCCCGCCCGCCGAGCUGCCCAUCCGGCCGAGCUGUACUUGGUGUAUGCCAACAUGCCGACAUGAUGAAAUUUGUUAGUACUUCAAGAUCAUAUAAUGGAAAAUUGUAUCCAAACUGAAGUAUAAACCAGCCUGGUUGCUGUAGCUACAGGGGAAGAACCAGUGCUGGUAAAAAUGUGGUCUCAUGUGGUUUUCCAUACCGGCUCUCAGCAAGGAUUUCAGAGAAAGGAAUACCGUCUCCAAAUCAUGAUGUGCUAAUAAGCUCCAGUUAGCUGCGCCUUUUUCCUCCCGGCAGUAGUCCUGCAAUCUGAAUCCAGGAGAUGCAGCUCUGAAUCCAAUAUUUCAGAAGAAUGAAGAUGUGUUUCAGGAUGAUACGGUUAGCUGUUGCUUGAUAGAUUGGCUAGUUUCUAUCACGUACAUUCGAUCAAAGAACUUUGUGACAUAACACUCACACGGAGGCAGCUUGAGAUGACAGAUUUAUUGAUGUUGUACGCACUUUACAGAGGUGAUUUAUGAAAAAGGAUUCCAGAUUUAUGAGAACAAUCUUAUUUGUUGCUCGCACAUAUUUGUGGGCCAAUGACAAUCGAUGAUUUACCCUAUUUACUGCAACUCAUGUACAUAUGUAUGGGUGUCGCUGUCGAGAGGCUGUUUAAGCUUACGCCAUGAACCCGAUUUGGAAAAAGAUGUUUUAUCAGCUAUCAAAUGGUAUUGACAUUUAUUAAAGUAUUUUCGGUGACAAUAUCUUAAUACCAAACUUAUUUACGUUUUUCCUUUACUAUGCUCUUUAUAAUAUUCAACCAAUCAAGCAAAUUAUGUACCAAAAUGUGCAAACUUUGAUCAUAACUAAAAUCUAAACGAGGUCAUCCCAGAAAGUGUUGUACUAUGCAGACAUACAGAGGUUAUUCUAAUUACCUAAAUAUCAACAUUCUGUUAAUUUUUAAACGAAAAGUAUUAUCAAAGUUUAUGUUUCGGUUCUUUUCCAUUUUUUUGUACAAACAUCAAUCCAUUUUAUUUGCUUUUAUGAAAUAUUCACUAAGCCGCGAAAAUUAGCUUUCGCCCGACACUCAUGCAAUGAAACUAACGCCCGGGAGGGUCGACUUUCGCGCUUAAAUACCACGUGACUAUACAAGGGGCGGGGCUAGUGGGUCGACUUAUUACGAGCACCACAUAAGUUAGAGUUCAUUUUGGCGGCCUACUAAAAAUGGUACCAGCAUUCUCGCCUGCUACGCUCGCUCCAUUUUCUGUAGAUUGUAAAAAUGAACUCUUACGUAUACAUGGCGAAUACUUCACACAAAAGCAGUAGGACUAGGAGUCGCCCUCAGGACAAAACGCUGUUUACGACAGUCAAUCGUUGGUCAAAUGUUUAGAUACAUACCAGGCGUUUAUGAGGAGUUAACAAUGCAUGGAAUUGCCACCUAUGGUUGUGUUGAUAGCUUCUCUGAGUAAAUAUUUCGACUGAAGGCUGGAUAUUCCAACAAUAGCCAAACGCUCAUAGCUUACAACAUUCUGCAGUUUACUUCACAUGUAUUUAAAAGGUGUGAUCAGACUGAUAAUAGAAAUUCCUUUGAAAAUACAGAUACAGAUACUGGCGAUUUAAAUAUUGGUGGUCCUUUUCAACAACUAAAACCUCCAGGACCAGGUAAAUAUCCAAACUCGGUAGCUGGAUCUAUGACUGACGUAUCUUCGCGUAUAUAAGCACUUUAGACCAAGGUCUGCACAUGAUUUUCAAGUCCAAAAUACUAAAAUCAUUAAAACUAAAGUGGUAGGGGUGUACGCUUCUGAAUACCAUACAAAUGUACUUUAAAUUUGUCACGAUUUGAUCAGUAGUUUAACUGGGUGAUAUAAACGUUAAAAGAGUAAACGAUACUUGUAUGAUAAAAAAGCGUUUGAUGCUGGUUAAUUUUAUUUACAUGCUGAUUGAAUUUAUGUACAGUUUGGUGACUAGAGGUAUCUUUUCUCGAAUAUCCCUUUAUGAUGUAGCUGAAUAGAUUAAAGACAUUUAUGUGUUAACAACUGUCUUGUGUAUAUACCCAUGACCCUAAACAUAGUUAUUGUGCAGUAUGUAUACGUAGAGCACAUACAGCAUCUUAAAAUACAUGACUUUGUGUAUUGAGAUGCAAACGUACAAACUAUUUUAUAAUUUGUCAUCAGUGUUGUUAUUGCCCACUAAGAUCGUAAAUCAUUUGUGAUAACUUGUUUGUUCGAUGACUUAUUUAUUUGUUUAUAUAAUAUUGA